CGAUUUUCGAAAUAAAUGUAGUCGUCUCAUCACAGGUGGUGUGAUGGAAUCGCUUCACAUACAUUCGGUGCUGUUUAGCAGACUAGGGCCAGCCCAGACCUAACCAUAUGCCAGUUUUCCUUGUGCCUGUCGUCAGCAACAAUCUCACUGCUUGGGAUUCCUCUUGAUUGGGAGAAACUAUAGCGAUGACGAUCGAGUUCUUCUCUUUAAAUCCUCUCUGCCCUCGUGUAUGCCCAUGUGUGUGUGGGUGUAUUCACGAGGACCCUACCUUGUCUGGUGGAUUCAAC